rnacentral:rRNA from 1 species
GAAAGGAAAUAUUCGGUAAAAGAUGGGCCCGCAUCUGAUUAGCUAGUUGGUGAGAUAACAGCCCACCAAGGCGACGAUCAGUAGCCGACCUGAGAGGGUGACCGGCCACAUUGGGACUGAGACACGGCCCAAACUCCUACGGGAGGCAGCAGUGGGGAAUAUUGCACAAUGGGGGGAACCCUGAUGCAGCAACGCCGCGUGAAGGAAGACGGUUUUCGGAUUGUAAACCUCUAUCAAUAGGGAAGAAAGAAAUGACGGUACCUAAAUAAGAAGCCCCGGCUAACUACGUGCCAGCAGCCGCGGUAAUACGUAGGGGGCAAGCGUUAUCCGGAAUUACUGGGUGUAAAGGGAGAGUAGGCGGCAAGGUAAGCGAUAUGUGAAAGCCUUAGGCUUAACCUGAGGAUUGCAUAACGAACUAUCUAGCUAGAGUACAGGAGAGGAAAGCGGAAUUCCUAGUGUAGCGGUGAAAUGCGUAGAUAUUAGGAAGAACACCAGUGGCGAAGGCGGCUUUCUGGACUGAAACUGACGCUGAGGCUCGAAAGCGUGGGGAGCGAACAGGAUUAGAUACCCUGGUAGUCCACGCUGUAAACGAUGAGUGCUAGGUGUCGGGGAGGAAUCCUCG